AGGUGGCUCGCUUCACGGCUUCCCUACGGCACCGACAACGGUCGCACCGUGGCCGACACCUAGCGAGUAUCGUUUACGGCUAGGACUACCCGGGUAUCUAAUCCGGUUCGUGCCCCUAGCUUUCGUCCCUUGCCGUCAGGUCCGUUCUGGUGAGACGCCUUCGCCACUGGUGGUCCUUCAAGGAUUACAAGAUUUCACCCCUACCCCUGAAGUACCUCUCACCUCUCCCGGCCUCGAGCCAGACAGUAUCUCCUGAAAGCCUGACAGUUAAGCUGCCAGAUUUCUCAAGAGACUUAUCCGGCCGGCUACAGACCCUUUAGACCCAAUAAUAACGGUUACCACUCGAGCCGCCGGUGUUACCGCGGCGGCUGGCACCGGUCUUGCCCGGCCCUUGCUAUGAAAUGCUUUUUAGGCAUCUCGACAGCCAGAUUUGUAACCUGGCACUCGAGGUUCCCUUAUCG
rnacentral:rRNA from 1 species